CACCGGAAAAAAAAAUGAAGUACACAAUAAAAAAAAUAACAAAAAUGCUGUACCUUAAAAAAAAAACUCCAGAAACUCUUACCAAAGAGAAGGCAAUGCCUUAAAUCAGCCCAACAACCUUCCCUCACUUCCUGCUUUUCCUGGUCACCUGCUUUAGCUGACUUCUCACCCUCCACAUCUUCUCUUGUUUUUAGCUGAAGACGGUAUUUAAGGUGGUGGCCACUUCCGGGAAUUGCUCAGUUUUCCUGGAUCUCUCCCAGGCUUACCUGCUCCGAUACCUGGGAGCUCUGCCGCACUCAGACAUCCCCGGUCUUUCGGUGAUCCUGAGGGACCUGAGACCACAUUGUCCCCAUGAGGGCUCCACCUCCUGCUUAGUCUCUGGAGUGACUUCCGGCCACGGAGCAGACUUCUAAUCUUUUGGAUUUCGGCCCCGCUGCUCUCUCACCUGCUGGGAGAAGUGACCAAUGAACAGACAUGGAGUCUCUGGAUAUACUUCUUUAGUAUAAGUGCUCAGUUCCCGGCUAGUUAACUUGCUGGCGGACAUGUGGCUGGUGGAAAGGACUUCUUGGAGACAUGCGAGCUGGAUAAUUGUUUAGGUGGCCUGUCUUCUGCAAGGUAGGAUGUUCAGCAGUAUCCUAGUUUCUACACAUUAGAUGCCAAUCGUAUGCCCUCUAUACUUGGAGCAACCAAAACUGUCUGUGGACUUUGCCAA